rnacentral:sRNA from 1 species
UCUUGGACAAAGAGAAGCUGAAGGU